CUUUCGGUCUCGCGAAUGCAUCNAGAAUUAUUAGUUUGAUCAUGGCUCAGAGUGAACGCUGGCGUGUAAGCCUAACACAUGCAAGUCGAACGGCAGCACAGGAGAGCUUGCUCUCUGGGUGGCGAGUGGCGGACGGGUGAGAAAUACAUCGGAAUCUACUUUUUCGUGGGGGAUAACGUAGGGAAACUUACGCUAAUACCGCAUACGACCUACGGGUGAAAGCAGUGGGAUCUUCGUGACCUUGCGCGAUUGAAUGAGCCGAUGUCGGAUUAGCUAGUUGGCGGGGUAAAGGCCCACCAAGGCGACGAUCCGUAGCUGGUCUGAGAGGAUGAUCAGCCACACUGGAACUGAGACACGGUCCAGACUCCUACGGGAGGCAGCAGUGGGGAAUAUUGGACAAUGGGCGCAAGCCUGAUCCAGCCAUACCGCGUGGGUGAAGAAGGCCUUCGGGUUGUAAAGCCCUUUUGUUGGGAACAGAAAUCCAGCUGGCUAAUACCCGGUUGGGAUGACGUGUACCCAAAGAAUAAGCACCGGCCUAACUUCGUGCCAGCAUGCCUGUCGGUAAUACGAAGGGUGCAAGCGUUACUCGGAAUUACUGGGGCGUAAACGCGUGCCGUANGUGGUCCGNUUUAAGACUCUCGCUGUUAAAANCCCU
rnacentral:rRNA from 1 species